rnacentral:lncRNA from 1 species
AGGCUGACUCCGGAGCUAGAGAGGAGCACAUUCGAGCGAGAAGCUACGUGGGUGCAAACAACACUCCAGUUUCUGCCCGGGAGGAGCCGGAUCUAACAACUAGGAGUUCAAGCCCCUACCUACCGACCGACCUGUGGUCUCUGAAGUUGGACAAUGCUCCCCAACAGGUGCAAACAGAAUACCUGUUUGACCGGGCUUUGUCUCUAGGAAACUACAUACGAGGUGAUGGAAAUGCUAUUAAGAGUGAUGUGAAUUAACACAGAGACCUACAAUUGAUUCAGGGAUCUAUGUAGAAGAGGAAGCAGGGAGAUUCUAAGAGCCAGAGAUGGUGGAUGACUUCAAAGAAACAAUGUUUUCCAGCUACAACAGAGUCACUGUGAGGAUCCAGACAAGGCACAGAAGAGAGUUUUGGGAAUCGCCAGAGCUCUGCAAAGAAUUGAGAGGUGUCAGCACUGACCUUGUGAUCUCCACCAAUCAACUGUUCUAAAGUUCAGUUUUAGCAAAAAAACUAGACAGGACUCAAGGUUUGCAGCAGUAUGGAGGCUGGCAGGAUUGCCCAAGCAGAAGGCUGAGGCCACAAGAGGAACAAUCUGUUGGAGCAAGGCUUUGGAGCACUUGUUCGUGAAGGGUGUAAUAAUAAGUGCCGUGGUGUGGGAACUUAAACAAAUAAGAAUCUCCUUCCUCAAAGUUUGAGAGGCCCAAGAUUCAAGAUGGACAUGUCCACAGGAUGGGCGUCCUUCACUCCUGGUUUGCAAACAGUCACCCCCUGUCUGUGUCUACAUAAGCUCUUACCAUGUGUGUUUCUUCCUGGUGCCUCUCAGAGUCGAUGUUGCUUUUUUUCAUAAGAGUACCAAUUAAGGAUGACUUAGGGACCCUAAAUAGACCCAUUUUAACUACAUUAUCUUUUCACUGUUAUUUUCUUGGUUUCCUAAGGAUCAGACAAGGGGCCUUACGUAUGAUAGGUGAGUGCUCUACCAGUGAGCUACACACCCAGCACCCUUAAUAACAGCUUUAAAGAGCAGCCCUCCAAUGCAAAUACCUUCUUAAGUACUAGCAAUUGGGGCUCUAAUAUGAAUUUAGAAACAUGCAUUUAGAAGAAAGGGGCACAAAACAGCCCUUAUUCAAGGACACUUGAGCACUUGGUGGCUUCAUGGCACCUCUCUAUACACUCUCAGUGCCACCUCUAGACCCCACUUAACAUGAGGAAGAUGCCUCCCUUGCAUUAAGCUUUGUGUCCAGGCACUUCUCAUCCAUGCAGGUAGCCGCAUUCCCUAACUGAUACGUAGCAUCUCACUUCAGCUGUUCUUGUUCACCUCUUUUGAAUCUUGUAUGGAGUGGAGUUCCCUCUUCAAUUAAAAGAAAUUAUUC